rnacentral:rRNA from 1 species
UACAGAGGUCUCAAGCGUUGUUCGGAUUCAUUGGGCGUAAAGAGCUCGUAGGCGGCUCGUUGCGUCGGCUGUGAAAACCCGCAGCUCAACUGUGGGCCUGCAGCCGAUACGGGCGGGCUAGGAUUCGGUAGGGGAGACUGGAAUUCCUGGUGUAGCGGUGAAAUGCGCAGAUAUCAGGAGGAACACCGGUGGCGAAGGCGGUUCUCUGGGCAUUACCUGACGCUGAGGAGCGAAAGUGUGGGGAGCGAACAGG